ensembl:lncRNA
UCUCUCUCUGUAUCUCUCUCUCUCUCUCUCUCCCUCUCUCUGUAUCUCUCUCUCUCUCUGUAUCUCUCUCUCUCUCUCUGUAUCUCUCUCUAUGUAUCUCUCUCUCUGUAUCUCUCUCUCUCUCUCUGUAUCUCUCUCUCUCUCUCUGUAUCUCUCUCUCUCUCUGUAUCUCUCUCUCUCUCUGUAUCUCUCUCUCUCUCUGUAUCUCUCUCUCUCUCUCUGUAUCUCUCUCUCUCUCUCUGUAUCUCUCUCUCUCUCUCUGUAUCUCUCUCUCUCUCUCUGUAUCUCGCUCUCUCUCUCUCUGUAGCUCUCUCUCUCU